UGUAAGGAGGGCUCCAGCUCAACCACACAUUGUGGAAGCCCAAAGUGGCCCCAAAGAGAGACGCUGUUCCAUCUCGUCCCCAAAGAGAGAUGCCAACUCCAGCUCCAUCUGUCUCUACCCCUACAACAGAUGCCACGCCGGACCAUCCGGCCAAGCCCUGACGAAAGUCCUGUCCCACAGAGAUGGGAAAGUGAUCACUGUUGUAUGAACCGCUGAGUUUCGGUGUUGGUCCGUCACACAGUGACUGAUAACUGAUGUUGGCCUCUCCCUUUCCCUUUACAAAUGAGGAAACUUGACUUGCCAAAGGUCACAUAGCUUGUAAGCGACAGAGCCACCGCUUUGAGCCCAGCUCAGGGCUCUCUGCAAAGCGUUACAAGCUGACAUCUGAAAAGCCCCAGAAAGCUUUAAAUCGAGACACCAAGGAGAACUCGCCUCUGAGCCCCGGAGGGUGCUUCUCCACAACUGGACACUCAUGCGUCCCUUUUCUAUUCCUGUCUCAGAACAAUGACAUUCAGGUCUGCCACGGGAGCCCCUUCUCUCUGCUGCUGCACCAUGCUCUGCUGUUCGGGGAACCCCACGCCCUUGGGAGCAGGAACCAGCCCUUCCCCGCGUGUUUGCAUUUAAAGAUAGCUUCCAGCUGGCAAUCGUCCCCUGUGGGCAGGCACAGCGCCAAAGACUUAGCCUGUGAUAUCUCGUUUAGUCCUGCCGGGGCCCUGUGUCCUCUCUCCCACUACUGACGAGCCUGGCAUGACUUGGCUCCUGUCCUCCUGUCCAUCCGUAGGCGACAUGUUCCUCCGACACACCUGCGGCUCUCUGCCCGGCACAUCCCUGUUCCACUUUGGAACAACACCAUUCCCACUUAUCCUUAGCGGGGGAGUCUCCGUGCACACGCCGCGUCCUCUGGGAGACCUUCCCCCCAACCAAAUUAGGUCCUCGUGGGACUGGGAUGGAGGCUCGCAGAAUAUACCAACCCAAAAUAUGCCACUUUGGCAGAAGCAUUAUUUUGAACUAAAGACACUUCAAAAACAAACAAACAAAAACCCCAGCAAGUGCUAGAAGGGUGUUCCGACUUCCUCUUUUCCCCCUGAAAGCAGGAAAUAGAAUUCCCAUGUGAAAGAUAUCCUUCUUGGACCAGGAGGAAAGAAAUAUCCCUAUUGCCAGAGAUAGGAAGUCAAAGCCAAGAGAAUUCUUUACCAACAGACCUUGUUAAGAGGUGCAAAGUGAGGCCAGAGUAUACAACUUCCCUGUGGAAAUAAACAAAGACCACCCAGAUGAAGACAAAGACGUUCUCCAUUCAGAGCUUGCUACAGCAAGAGAGGCAGCCACUCUCACUCGUGUUUGGCAGAGACUCCCAGACAGACGAGGGACUGAGGGGAGCCCCAGAGUGGCCAAAAGGGAAGGCUCAGAUACGCUCUUCUCACUGGAGGGGAAUCUCGGUCACCGUUCGGAGGGCAACUCUGUGCUAAGGACUGCUGCACACCCCCGUCGACCCACACCAGAACGUCCCCUCCUUUGAACUGCUAGCCCUACUCUUAGUUCUGCUUUGAAGCGGAGUUACAAGAACCUCGAGAUCAGCCGCACACUGAAUGUCUCUGGCCACGCCUUCUGUGGGCUCUGCAGACUCCGUGUCUGAAGGCUCCUUUGGAGCCGAGGAAGGCUGCUCUGCUCCCCAUCCCCCUACAGAACCCGCACGCAGUGACCAACAGAGCGAGCAGGACUGUGAUGCUGAGGAGGUGGGUCUCACACCACUUUCCAGAAACUUCAGCUCAAAUUGCUCUCUGCCUGGUGAGAGCAAGGCUCCUUUCCUUUGCCGUGUAUCACCGCCCUACCUUCCUGAGGUUACUCCCUGUCCCUCCAGUGCAUAAUCUUGGCUCUCAAAUCUUCCUUUUGCAGUCUGCUUCCGGGGAAAGCGCCCAUGUGAAAACGGCUUAUUGUCCCCAUUUUACAGAUGAGAGAAACUGAGUCUCAGAGAACUUAAGUGACAUACGUCAAGGUCGUGCAGCUUAGGAGCUGGGAUUGGUACUAAACCCUCACUGCUCUUGAUGUGUGUGUGUGUGUGUGUGUGUGUGUGUGUGUGUGUGUGUGUGAUUUUCUCCUAGUUCUCUGAAGCCAUUCAUUUCAUAGCCUUGUGCAAUAAUGUGCUUGUUUGAAAAGUUUCUAAAAAUGUAAUUGAACCCA